GACGGAGGAUGCAAGUGUUAUCCGGAAUCACUGGGCGUAAAGCGUCUGUAGGUGGUUUAAUAAGUCAACUGUUAAAUCUUGAGGCUCAACCUCAAAAUCGCAGUCGAAACUAUUAGGCUAGAGUAUAGUAGGGGUAAAGGGAAUUUCCAGUGGAGCGGUGAAAUGCGUAGAGAUUGGAAAGAACACCGAUGGCGAAGGCGCUUUACUGGGCUAUUACUGACGCUCAGAGACGAAAGCUAGGGUAGCAAAUGGG
rnacentral:rRNA from 1 species